CAGUCGCGUUCUCUGGGAUUCAGCCUUGCUUCUUGCUUGGUGCAUUUCCUAGUCUACGGGCCAGCAUGAAUCUUGAGCGGUGGAAAAGGGUUUGGGGAAUGUGGCACCUCCGGGUGUGUUAUAGCCCCUUGCUGUAUACACUGGUUGGGAUUGAGGUUUCAGUGCACGCUUCGGUUGUGUCUUUGAUGCUGGCGUAAUGGCUUUAAGCGACCCGUCUUAGAAACACGGAACCAAGGAGUACUAACAUAUAGUGCGG
rnacentral:rRNA from 1 species